rnacentral:rRNA from 1 species
AACGAACGCUGGCGGCAUGCCUAACACAUGCAAGUCGAACGAAGCCUUCGGGCUUAGUGGCGCACGGGUGCGUAACGCGUGGGAAUCUGCCCUUGGGUUCGGAAUAACAGUUAGAAAUGACUGCUAAUACCGGAUGAUGUCUUCGGACCAAAGAUUUAUCGCCCAAGGAUGAGCCCGCGUAGGAUUAGGUAGUUGGUGGGGUAAUGGCCCACCAAGCCGACGAUCCUUAGCUGGUCCGAGAGGAUGAUCAGCCACACUGGGACUGAGACACGGCCCAGACUCCUACGGGAGGCAGCAGUGGGGAAUAUUGGACAAUGGGCGAAAGCUUGAUCCAGCAAUGCCGCGUGAGUGAUGAAGGCCUUAGGGUUGUAAAGCUCUUUUACCAGGGAUGAUAAUGACAGUACCUGAAGAAUAAGCUCCGGCUAACUCCGUGCCAGCCGCCGCGGUAAAAC